ACGCGCCCAGUCUGCAGUAUAGCAGACGGGGGGCUCUCCUUGAUGCCGGACAGGCUGAAGUUGCUCUCAAUGUCGAAUCCAGACGAGACGUGGUAAGGCGAGAAAUCUUCAUCAGCAUCCCAUAUUCUAUCAUAUGGAUCAACGCUGUAAGCCCCCGGAGGCAGGGGCCGGAGCUCAAGAGUCGAGAUGACCGGGAAUCCACCAUUCGGGAUGGAAUGGAAGCACAAGGGCAGCACAUCCUUACUAGCCGGCCACACGAAUUCCUCAAUCCAAGGAUCAGUGUGAGCAAGAUUGACAGUGGUGGUGAUAGCUGUGCCAAGAGAGACAGAGAACACAGGGGGCUUUGCAAGGCCAUCAUAGUUCUUGUACACAAACUUGCUCCUCACUAGAACCAGAGAUGAAGUGUUCUGCAAUGGCAGCCUGUAGCAAUUUCUGCCCGAAGAAUCAGGGAAGAAUCGGACAGAGAGAGUGGCCGAGGACGCACCCUCUGAGAAAACAACACUGCUCAAGUUCCCUUUGUUCACAUAAUAUCCAUCUCCUCUCCAUGAAACGUUGGAGGAAUCCACAUAGCUCACGCUUCCGCCGCAUGUUAAGCUCAAGAAUCCUAGUGAAAGCAGCGAAGGAAACAAAUUUUGUAAGAUUCGAACCCCCAACCUAAAGGUUUGGAGAGGGAAACAUGUUACCAAUUGAGUGGUUCUUCGUUGUCAUCAAAAGUGCAAAUCUUGGAUAAAUUACCAUUAAUUAAACAAAAUUUAGAUAUCUAGUCGAAAAUAUUGAAAAUAGAAAAUAACAAAAGAGAAAAAAGAAGUGCAUACCUUGCUCCCAUCCCACCCUACCCAUCAAUCAUCACCACCCCCACAAGGCAAAACAAUCUUUGCAUUUGUUAGGACAAGCAAGAUGUAGGUAGAAGGUUAUGUUUUCUUGUAAGGUGGAAUUCUUAUAUUUCUCUCUCUCUCUCUCUUGGGUGGAAUUCUAAUCUUUUAAGAUGAGA